AGCUCCAAUAGCGUAUAUUAAAGUUGUUGCGGUUAAAAAGCUCGUAGUUGGAUUUCUGCUGAGGACAACCGGUCCGCCCUCUGGGUGAGAAUCUGGCUUAGCCUUGGCAUCUUCUUGGACAACGCUACUGCACUUGACUGUGUGGUGUGGUAUCCAAGGCUUUCACUUUGAGGAAAUCAGAGUGCUUCCAGCAGGCAUAUGUCUUGAAUACAUUAGCAUGGAAUAAUAAGAUAAGACUUUGGUUUUAUUUUGUUGGUUUUUAGAACCGAGGUAAUGAUUGAUAGGGAUAGUUGGGGGCAUUUGUAUUUAACUGUCAGAGGUGAAAUUCUUGGAUUUGCUAAAGACAAACUAUUGCGAAAGCAUUUGCCAAGGAUGUUUUCUUUGAUCAAGAACGAAAGUA
rnacentral:rRNA from 1 species